rnacentral:rRNA from 1 species
AACAAGGUCUCCGUUGGUGAACCAGCGGAGGGAUCAUUAUCGAGUUAUUCAACUCCCAAACCCUAUGUGAACUUACCACUUGUUGCUUCGGCGCGCGCUUCGGCGCCGCCGAGGACACUUAAACUCUUUGUUUUUAUAAGCAUUUCUGAGUGGCCGAAAGGCAAAAAUACAAAUGAAUCAAAACUUUCAACAACGGAUCUCUUGGUUCUGGCAUCGAUGAAGAACGCAGCGAAAUGCGAUAAGUAAUGUGAAUUGCAGAAUUCAGUGAAUCAUCGAAUCUUUGAACGCACAUUGCGCCCGCCAGCAUUCUGGCGGGCAUGCCUGUUCGAGCGUCAUUUCAACCCUCGAGCCCGUCUCUUUUGAGGACGGCUCGGCGUUGGGGGACGGCAGACUCCCCCCGGCAUCUCGCCGGGGACGCCGCCCCCGAAAUCUAGUGGCGGCCCUCCGAGGCGACCUCUGCGUAGUAACUUGUUCUCGCACCGGAAAGCUCAGAGCGGCCACGCCGUAAAACCCCAACUUUUUUCAGGUUGACCUCGAAUCAGGUAGGACUACCCGCUGAACUUAAGCAUAUCAAUA